CUGCUGUGCCAGCCUCAGAAAUUGCCAAGUUCAGGGAUCUUGAGCUGAGGGCAAACGAAUCCAGGCACGAAUGAGCCCUCCUGUGAUACGUGAAGUGGUGGUCCUAUGGCUAGCAGAGAUACCUGGCUGUGUGCAAGAGCCAGCAGACUACGCAAGAGCACAGCCCACAGCGACUCUGUGUUUUGCACAUAUAUGUGAUCUACUGCAGUUGUCUUACUGACCUACAUCUCUCACUGACAUCCUAUGCCAUUACAAUCCACAGGUAUGGAAGCCUGUCA
rnacentral:lncRNA from 1 species